GGGGAAUAUUGGACAAUGGGCGCAAGCCUGAUCCAGCCAUGCCGCGUGUGUGAUGAAGGCCUUAGGGUUGUAAAGCACUUUUGUCCGGGAAGAUAAUGACUGUACCGGAAGAAUAAGCCCCGGCUAACUUCGUGCCAGCAGCCGCGGUAAUACGAAGGGGGCUAGCGUUGCUCGGAAUCACUGGGCGUAAAGGGCGCGUAGGCGGACUUUUAAGUCGGGGGUGAAAGCCCAGGGCUCAACCCUGGAAUUGCCUUCGAUACUGAGGGUCUUGAGUUCGGAAGAGGUUGGUGGAACUGCGAGUGUAGAGGUGAAAUUCGUAGAUAUUCGCAAGAACACCAGUGGCGAAGGCGGCCAACUGGUCCGAUACUGACGCUGAGGCGCGAAAGCGUGGGGAGCAAAC
rnacentral:rRNA from 1 species